rnacentral:rRNA from 1 species
UGGCGAACGGGUGAGUAACACGUGGGUGAUCUGCCCUGCACUCUGGGAUAAGCCUGGGAAACUGGGUCUAAUACCGGAUAGGACCAUGCUUUAGUGUGUGUGGUGGAAAGUUUUUUCGGUGUAGGAUGAGCCCGCGGCCUAUCAGCUUGUGGUGGGGUAAUGGCCUACCAAGGCGGCGACGGGUAGCCGGACUGAGAGGUUGGUCGGCCACAUUGGGACUGAGAUACGGCCCAG